rnacentral:rRNA from 1 species
GAGGGAAAGGUGAAAAGCAACCAUGAAAAAUGGGUUGAAACAGUAGUGAAAGCGCUACCGGGAUAAGGGCUAUCGGGUGCUGGGGCUCUUUGGGUGUGCUUUAGUGCUACCCUCCGAGACGGCCCGCGAGGGUUGAUGUUGGGGCGAUAGACGCACUGCAGGAAUUCAGCUGCCUUUGGGCAGUGUUGUAGCCUGCGGUUGCUGAUCCUCCUGCGACCUUGUGUGAUUGCGGGUCUUGCGACCGUUAGCCGCCCGUCUUGAAACACGGACCAAGGAGUGCACCUUGCAUGCGAGUCGAAGGGAUUUGAAACCUGGAGGCGUAGCGAACGCGACGAUGGGGAAUGUCCUUGUGGCAGACACCCGCACCCGCCUUGUGCGAGGUAGAGCAUGUACGGUGCGACCCGAAAGAUGGUGAACUAUGCCCGGGUAAGGUGAAGCCAGUGGAAACGCUGGUGGAGGCCUGUAGCGAUUCUGACGUGCAAAUCGAUCGCGUAACCUGGGUAUAGGGGCGAAAGACCUAUCGAACCGUCUAAUGGCUGGUUCCCUCCGAAGUUUCCCUCAGGAUAGCUGCGUUCCUAAUGAGAGUCAGUUGCAUUGCGGUAGAGCGAAUGAUUAGGUGUCUCGGGGCCAUCAUGGCCUCGGCUCAUUCUCAAACUCCGAAUUGCGUGCGAUCCCGUUGCUGUGACCUUGUGGCACGCCGGGAAAAUGACAGGACGCAAGUGGGCUGGUUUUGGUAAGCA